rnacentral:sRNA from 1 species
AACGCACAUUGCGCUCCUCGGCAUUCCGUGGAGCAUGCCUGUUUGAUGCGCAUGAAUAACUUCGGCCACUCGCGUGGCUUGUUUCUGAGCUUUCUCACUUUUGUGAGUAGUUCAAAGUCACAAAAUUUUGAGAGGUCGCGAUUGCUGGCAACGGCCCAUUGGCUUAGUCCACCGGCGUCAAAUGUUACACCUCCCAAGUGAACUGAUAGUAUACCACACCAUCAGAUAGCUUGGGACCAUUUGAUGAUCAACCGAGGGACGGACAUUUGGGUACGGACCUGCUCUCUGCUGAUCUUUGUUGUGUGGGAUCUUUCCCCUCAGAAAUUCUGCAUCAAAUCAGGUAGGGUUACCCGCUGAACUUAA